rnacentral:rRNA from 1 species
AUUGAACGCUGGCGGCAGGCCUAACACAUGCAAGUCGAGCGGAUGAAGGGAGCUUGCUCCUGGAUUCAGCGGCGGACGGGUGAGUAAUGCCUAGGAAUCUGCCUGGUAGUGGGGGAUAACGUCCGGAAACGGGCGCUAAUACCGCAUACGUCCUGAGGGAGAAAGUGGGGGAUCUUCGGACCUCACGCUAUCAGAUGAGCCUAGGUCGGAUUAGCUAGUUGGUGGGGUAAAGGCCUACCAAGGCGACGAUCCGUAACUGGUCUGAGAGGAUGAUCAGUCACACUGGAACUGAGACACGGUCCAGACUCCUACGGGAGGCAGCAGUGGGGAAUAUUGGACAAUGGGCGAAAGCCUGAUCCGGCCAUGCCGCGUGUGAAGAAGGUCUUCGGAUUGUAAAGCACUUUAAGUUGGGAGGAAGGGCAGUAAGUUAAUACCUUGCUGUUUUGACGUUACCAACAGAAUAAGCACCGGCUAACUUCGUG